rnacentral:rRNA from 1 species
AGUGAACGCUGGCGGUAGGCCUAACACAUGCAAGUCGAACGGCAGCACAGUAAGAGCUUGCUCUUACGGGUGGCGAGUGGCGGACGGGUGAGGAAUACAUCGGAAUCUACUUUUUCGUGGGGGAUAACGUAGGGAAACUUACGCUAAUACCGCAUACGACCUACGGGUGAAAGCAUGGGAUCUUCGGACCUUGCGCGAUUGAAUGAGCCGAUGUCGGAUUAGCUAGUUGGCGGGGUAAAGGCCCACCAAGGCGACGAUCCGUAGCUGGUCUGAGAGGAGGAUCAGCCACACUGGAGCGGAGACACGGUCCAGACUCCUACGGGAGGCAGCAGUGGGGAAUAUUGGACAAUGGGCGCAAGCCUGAUCCAGCCAUACCGCGUGGGUGAAGGAGGCCUUCGGGGUGUAAAGCCCUUUUGUUGGGAAAGAAAAGCAGCAGGUUAAUACCCAGCUGUUCUGACGGUACCCAAAGAAUAAGCACCGGCUAACUUCGUG